rnacentral:rRNA from 1 species
GGAGGAAAAGAAACCAACAGGGAUUGUCUUAGUAACGGCGAGUGAAGCGACAAAAGCUCAAAUUUGAAAUCUGGCACCUUCGGUGUCCGAGUUGUAAUUUGAAGAAGGUAACUUUGGAGUUGGCUCUUGUCUAUGUUCCUUGGAACAGGACGUCACAGAGGGUGAGAAUCCCGUGCGAUGAGAUGUCCAACUCUAUGUAAAGUGCUUUCGAAGAGUCGAGUUGUUUGGGAAUGCAGCUCUAAGUGGGUGGUAAAUUCCAUCUAAAGCUAAAUAUUGGCGAGAGACCGAUAGCGAACAAGUACAGUGAUGGAAAGAUGAAAAGAACUUUGAAAAGAGAGUGAAAAAGUACGUGAAAUUGUUGAAAGGGAAGGGUUUGAGAUCAGACUUGGUAUUUUGUAUGUCUUGCUUUCGGGUGGGGCCUCUGCAGUUUACUGGGCCAGCAUCGGUUUGGACGGUAGGAUAAUGACAUUGGAAUGUGGCACUACUUCGGUGGUGUGUUAUAGACUUCGUUGAUACUGCCUGUCUAGACCGAGGACUGCGUCUUUGACUAGGAUGCUGGCAUAAUGAUCCUAAACCGCCCGU